CAGUGAAACUGCGAAUGGCUCAUUAAAUCAGUUAUCGUUUAUUUGAUAGUACCUUUACUACUUGGAUAACCGUGGUAAUUCUAGAGCUAAUACAUGCUAAAAAUCCCGACUGUUUGGAAGGGAUGUAUUUAUUAGAUAAAAAAUCAAUGCUCUUUGAGCUCUUUGAUGAUUCAUAAUAACUUUUCGAAUCGCAUGGCCUUGUGCUGGCGAUGGUUCAUUCAAAUUUCUGCCCUAUCAACUUUCGAUGGUAGGAUAGUGGCCUACCAUGGUUUCAACGGGUAACGGGGAAUAAGGGUUCGAUUCCGGAGAGGGAGCCUGAGAAACGGCUACCACAUCCAAGGAAGGCAGCAGGCGCGCAAAUUACCCAAUCCCGACACGGGGAGGUAGUGACAAUACAUAACGAUACAGGGCCCUUUCGGGUCUUGUAAUUGGAAUGAGUACAAUGUAAAUACCUUAACGAGGAACAAUUGGAGGGCAAGUCUGGUGCCAGCAGCCGCGGUAAUUCCAGCUCCAAUAGCGUAUAUUAAAGUUGUUGCAGUUAAAAAGCUCGUAGUUGAACUUUGGGCUUGGUUGGCCGGUCCGCCUUUUUGGCGAGUACUGGACCCAACCGAGCCUUUCCUUCUGGCUAACCAUUCGCCCUUGUGGUGUUUGGCGAACCAGGACUUUUACUUUGAAAAAAUUAGAGUGUUCAAAGCAGGCCUUUGCUCGAAUAUAUUAAGCAUGGGAAUAAUAGAAUAAGGAAGUUAUGGGUUCUAUUUUGGUGGGUUUCUAGGAACCAUCGUAAUGAUUAAAUAAGGGACCGGUCGGGGGGCAUCAGUAUUUCAGUUGUCAGAAGGUGAAAAUUCUUAGAAUUUACUGGAGAACUAACUACUGGCGAAAAGCAUUUGGCCAAGGAACGUUUUUCAUUAAUCCAGAAACGAA
rnacentral:rRNA from 1 species